rnacentral:rRNA from 1 species
GACGAACGCCGGCGGCGUGCUUAACACAUGCAAGUCGAACGGUGACGGAGAGCUUGCUCUCCUGAUCAGUGGCGAACGGGUGAGUAACACGUGGGCAACCUGCCCCAGACUUCGGGAUAACGCUUCGAAAGGGGUGCUAAUACCGAAUACGAACGCCGUUGGCAUCCACGGUGUUGGAAAGUUCUUCGGUCUGGGAUGGGUCCGCGGCCUAUCAGCUUGUUGGUGAGGUAAUGGCUCACCAAGGCGACGACGGGUAGCCGGCCUGCAGAGGGCGACCGGCCACACUGGGACUGAGACACGGCCCAGACUCCUACGGGAGGCAGCAGUGGGGAAUAUUGCGCAAUGGGCGAAAGCCUGACGCAGCAACGCCGCGUGGGGGAUGAAGGCCUUCGGGUUGUAAACCUCUUUCAGCAGGGAAGAAGCGAAAGUGACGGUACCUGCAGAAGAAGCACCGGCUAACUACGUGCCAGCCGCCGCGGUAA